rnacentral:rRNA from 1 species
UACGUAGGGUGCGAGCGUUAAUCGGAAUUACUGGGCGUAAAGCGUGCGCAGGCGGUCUGUUAAGACCGAUGUGAAAUCCCCGGGCUUAACCUGGGAACUGCAUUGGUGACUGGCAGGCUUUGAGUGUGGCAGAGGGAGGUUGAAUUCCACGUGUAGCAGUGAAAUGCGUAGAGAUGUGGAGGAAUACCGAUGGCGAAGGCAGCCUCCUGGGCCAACACUGACGCUCAUGCACGAAAGCGUGGGGAGCAAACAGG